UACGUAGGGUGCAAGCGUUAAUCGGAAUUACUGGGCGUAAAGCGUGCGCAGGCGGUUUUGUAAGUUUGUCGUGAAAUCCCCGGGCUCAACCUGGGAAUUGCGAUGAAGACUGCAAGGCUAGAAUCUGGCAGAGGGGGGUAGAAUUCCACGUGUAGCAGUGAAAUGCGUAGAGAUCGGGAGGAACACCUGUGGCGAAGGCGGCCCCCUGGGCCGGCCCUGACACUGAGACGCGAAGGCGUGGGGAGCGAACGGG
rnacentral:rRNA from 1 species